rnacentral:rRNA from 1 species
GUAGGGUGCGAGCGUUAAUCGGAAUUACUGGGCGUAAAGCGUGCGCAGGCGGUUUUGUAAGCCAGAUGUGAAAUCCCCGAGCUUAACUUGGGAACUGCAUUUGGGACUGCAAGGCUAGAGUACGGCAGAGGGGGUAGAAUUCCUGGUGUAGCAGUGAAAUGCGUAGAUAUCAGGAGGAAUACCGAUGGCGAAGGCAGCCCCCUGGGUCGAUACUGACGCUCAUGCACGAAAGCGUGGGGAGCAAACAGGAUUAGAUACCCUGGUAGUCCACGCCCUAAACGAUGUCAACUAGUUGUUGGGGGCCUUACCGCCCUUAGUAACGCAGCUAACGCGUGAAGUUGACCGCCUGGGGAGUACGGUCGCAAGAUUA